rnacentral:lncRNA from 1 species
GCCUUUGUCUCUGGCUCAGGCCGGAGCCUGAGAUCCAUCUCUACUGUCCCGCGUGUUGCCCCUCGGGAGCACUAGGUGACUUUGUCACAUCCUCUGUUGCCCUGAGAUCUGGAGGUACUGGGAAAUGCAUAGCUAAGAUGCCAGGACAUCCUGGAAACCAGGAAAUGGUUGUCUGCAUCUUGUUAUUGGGCCACAAGAACACACAGCCAGACCCAGUUUGGUCCAGGAACAACAUCUGGCAAGCUAGCCAAGAGUCACUGAAAUGGUGCUGCACUCAGUGGCCCGUGAUUGUGGCGAGAUGGUCAUUUGGAGACUCCCAGAAGCUGCUGGAUAAGAUUGUCCUGGGGACUCUCCCAGGGGCUAUUCCAUGUGCAAAAACCACAUGUCCCUCUCACCACUGGGGAAGAAUGGUGAUCAGGCAGGAGUGGAUGCACUCAAAGGGAAAAGUCUUUCUCUAGGACCUGGAAAUGAUUGCUCGGAAAUGUAAACAGCAAAAAAGUUAGAGCCCUAUCGCACAGCUUGCUCCAAGUUUCAAAAUUACCUUCUGUCCCUCCUGGACUUGGGACCAUUAUUUUUCCUUCAGAUAUGCCAGUCAGCAACCACAGAUGGCCUCCCCAAUUACCAGGCUCACUCAGACAUUGCUGCCUUCUCCAGCCUCUUUAAACUUUAAAGGCCAGCAGAGAAUGCUAUGUUUCAGGAUGGUGAUUGGUGGUUUUCACUUUGGACCAUAAGCAUCCGUAUUGUGGUCACCUGCUGCUGUGUAAGACAUGCCUACUUCUGCU